rnacentral:tRNA from 1 species
GCACCCAUAGCUCAACUGGAUAGAGUACCUGGCUACGAACCAGGAGGUUGCAGGUUCGAACCCUGCUGGGUGUACCA